GAUGAACGCUGGCGGCGUGCCUAAUACAUGCAAGUCGAGCGAACAGACGAGGAGCUUGCUCCUUUGACGUUAGCGGCGGACGGGUGAGUAACACGUAGGUAACCUACCUAUAAGACUGGGAUAACUUCGGGAAACCGGAGCUAAUACCGGAUAAUAUUUCGAACCGCAUGGUUCGAUAGUGAAAGAUGGCUUUGCUAUCACUUAUAGAUGGACCUGCGCCGUAUUAGCUAGUUGGUAAGGUAACGGCUUACCAAGGCAACGAUACGUAGCCGACCUGAGAGGGUGAUCGGCCACACUGGAACUGAGACACGGUCCAGACUCCUACGGGAGGCAGCAGUAGGGAAUCUUCCGCAAUGGGCGAAAGCCUGACGGAGCAACGCCGCGUGAGUGAUGAAGGUCUCGGAUCGUAAAACUCUGUUAUUAGGGAAGAACAAACGUGUAAGUAACUGUGCACGUCUUGACGGUACCUAAUCAGAAAGCCACGGCUAACUACGUG
rnacentral:rRNA from 1 species